UGUUCUACCACGACUUCUGAUAGCACAGUUACUAGAGAGGAAAGUCAGUCUUCAUAUGAUAAUUUUUUUUUGGAGGAAUUUGAUACAUUUAGACCUGAUGAACUUUCUGGUUAUAUGAAAAAAAGUCAAUUGGAUCUUUACUUGGAUGAACCUAGGGCAGAAAGAAAUGCAAAGAUUGAUAUUCUUUCCUUUUGGAAAGGAAAUGAAUUUCGUUAUCCUGAUCUUGCUCGUAUGGCUCGUGGCAUUUUGAGUGUUCCAAUUUCUACAGUUGCAUCUGAAUCUACUUUUAGUGUUGGUGGGCAUAUUAUUGAUCAGUUUAGAAGUGCACUAAAAGCAGAUAUUGUUGAAGCAUUAGUUUGCACUAGAGAUUGGUUAUAUGGCAAGGAGCAAUAAACACAAGAAGAAGUUAAAUUGGACCAGUUAACUGAAGAUGUAAUGGAGUUGGAGAACAACAAGGGCAAGGGCUUGGAGGAC